rnacentral:rRNA from 1 species
GGUUAAGCGACUAAGCGUACACGGUGGAUGCCCUGGCAGUCAGAGGCGAUGAAGGACGUGCUAAUCUGCGAUAAGCGCCGGUAAGGUGAUAUGAACCGUUAUAACCGGCGAUUUCCGAAUGGGGAAACCCAGUGUGACUCGUCACACUAUCAUUAACUGAAUCCAUAGGUUAAUGAGGCGAACCGGGGGAACUGAAACAUCUAAGUACCCCGAGGAAAAGAAAUCAACCGAGAUUCCCCCAGUAGCGGCGAGCGAACGGGGAGGAGCCCAGAGCCUGAAUCAGCAUGUGUGUUAGUGGAAGCGUCUGGAAAGGCGCGCGAUACAGGGUGACAGCCCCGUACACAAAAGCGCAUGUGCUGUGAGCUCGAUGAGUAGGGCGGGACACGUGGUAUCCUGUCUGAAUAUGGGGGGACCAUCCUCCAAGGCUAAAUACUCCUGACUGACCGAUAGUGAACCAGUACCGUGAGGGAAAGGCGAAAAGAACCCCGGCGAGGGGAGUGAAAAAGAACCUGAAACCGUGUACGUACAAGCAGUGGGAGCACAGGUUUACCUGUGUGACUGCGUACCUUUUGUAUAAUGGGUCAGCGACUUAUAUUCUGUAGCAAGGUUAACCGAAUAGGGGAGCCGGAGGGAAACCGAGUCUUAAUUGGGCGUUAAGUUGCAGGGUAUAGACCCGAAACCCGGUGAUCUAGCCAUGGGCAGGUUGAAGGUUGGGUAACACUAACUGGAGGACCGAACCGACUAAUGUUGAAAAAUUAGCGGAUGACCUGUGGCUGGGGGUGAAAGGCCAAUCAAACCGGGAGAUAGCUGGUUCUCCCCGAAAGCUAUUUAGGUAGCGCCUCGUGAAUUCAUCUCCGGGGGUAGAGCACUGUUUCGGCUAGGGGGCCAUCCCGGCUUACCAACCCGAUGCAAACUGCGAAUACCGGAGAAUGUUAUCACGGGAGACACACGGCGGGUGCUAACGUCCGUCGUGAAGAGGGAAACAACCCAGACCGCCAGCUAAGGUCCCAAAGUCAUGGUUAAGUGGGAAACGAUGUGGGAAGGCCCAGACAGCCAGGAUGUUGGCUUAGAAGCAGCCAUCAUUUAAAGAAAGCGUAAUAGCUCACUGGUCGAGUCGGCCUGCGCGGAAGAUGUAACGGGGCUAAACCAUGCACCGAAGCUGCGGCAGCGACACUGUGUGUUGUUGGGUAGGGGAGCGUUCUGUAAGCCUGCGAAGGUGGCCUGUGAGGGUUGCUGGAGGUAUCAGAAGUGCGAAUGCUGACAUAAGUAACGAUAAAGCGGGUGAAAAGCCCGCUCGCCGGAAGACCAAGGGUUCCUGUCCAACGUUAAUCGGGGCAGGGUGAGUCGACCCCUAAGGCGAGGCCGAAAGGCGUAGUCGAUGGGAAACGGGUUAAUAUUCCCGUACUUGGUGUUACUGCGAAGGGGGGACGGAGAAGGCUAUGUUGGCCGGGCGACGGUUGUCCCGGUUUAAGCGUGUAGGUGUGUGUUCCAGGUAAAUCCGGUUCACUUUAACACUGAGGCGUGACGACGAGGCACUACGGUGCUGAAGCAACAAAUGCCCUGCUUCCAGGAAAAGCCUCUAAGCAUCAGGUAACAUCAAAUCGUACCCCAAACCGACACAGGUGGUCAGGUAGAGAAUACCAAGGCGCUUGAGAGAACUCGGGUGAAGGAACUAGGCAAAAUGGUGCCGUAACUUCGGGAGAAGGCACGCUGACAUGUAGGUGAAGUGAUUUACUCAUGGAGCUGAAGUCAGUCGAAGAUACCAGCUGGCUGCAACUGUUUAUUAAAAACACAGCACUGUGCAAACACGAAAGUGGACGUAUACGGUGUGACGCCUGCCCGGUGCCGGAAGGUUAAUUGAUGGGGUCAGCGCAAGCGAAGCUCCUGAUCGAAGCCCCGGUAAACGGCGGCCGUAACUAUAACGGUCCUAAGGUAGCGAAAUUCCUUGUCGGGUAAGUUCCGACCUGCACGAAUGGCGUAAUGAUGGCCAGGCUGUCUCCACCCGAGACUCAGUGAAAUUGAACUCGCUGUGAAGAUGCAGUGUACCCGCGGCAAGACGGAAAGACCCCGUGAACCUUUACUAUAGCUUGACACUGAACAUUGAGCCUUGAUGUGUAGGAUAGGUGGGAGGCUUUGAAGCGUGGACGCCAGUCUGCGUGGAGCCGACCUUGAAAUACCACCCUUUAAUGUUUGAUGUUCUAACGUGGACCCGUGAUCCGGGUUGCGGACAGUGUCUGGUGGGUAGUUUGACUGGGGCGGUCUCCUCCUAAAGAGUAACGGAGGAGCACGAAGGUUGGCUAAUCCUGGUCGGACAUCAGGAGGUUAGUGCAAUGGCAUAAGCCAGCUUGACUGCGAGCGUGACGGCGCGAGCAGGUGCGAAAGCAGGUCAUAGUGAUCCGGUGGUUCUGAAUGGAAGGGCCAUCGCUCAACGGAUAAAAGGUACUCCGGGGAUAACAGGCUGAUACCGCCCAAGAGUUCAUAUCGACGGCGGUGUUUGGCACCUCGAUGUCGGCUCAUCACAUCCUGGGGCUGAAGUAGGUCCCAAGGGUAUGGCUGUUCGCCAUUUAAAGUGGUACGCGAGCUGGGUUUAGAACGUCGUGAGACAGUUCGGUCCCUAUCUGCCGUGGGCGCUGGAGAACUGAGGGGGGCUGCUCCUAGUACGAGAGGACCGGAGUGGACGCAUCACUGGUGUUCGGGUUGUCAUGCCAAUGGCACUGCCCGGUAGCUAAAUGCGGAAGAGAUAAGUGCUGAAAGCAUCUAAGCACGAAACUUGCCCCGAGAUGAGUUCUCCCUGAGACUUAAAGUCUCCUGAAGGAACGUUGAAGACGACGACGUUGAUAGGCCGGGUGUGUAAGCGCAGCGAUGCGUUGAGCUAACCGGUACUAAUGAACCGUGAGGCUUAACCUU